GCCUGACGGGCUCAGUCCAUAGAGCGUGUGACUCUUGAUCUUGGGGUCGUGAGUUCAAACCUCACGUUGGGAG
rnacentral:tRNA from 1 species